rnacentral:rRNA from 1 species
GUAGGUGGCAAGCGUUGUCCGGAAUUAUUGGGCGUAAAGCGCGCGCAGGCGGUUCUUUAAGUCUGAUGUGAAAGCCCACGGCUCAACCGUGGAGGGUCAUUGGAAACUGGAGAACUUGAGUACAGAAGAGGAAAGCGGAAUUCCACGUGUAGCGGUGAAAUGCGUAGAGAUGUGGAGGGACACCAGUGGCGAAGGCGGCUUUCUGGUCUGUAACUGACGCUGAGGCGCGAAAGCGUGGGGAGCAAACAGGAUUAGAUACCCUGGUAGUCCACGCCGUAAACGAUGAGUGCUAGUGUUAGGGGGGUUUCCGCCCCCCUUAGUGCUGCAGCUAACGCAUUAAGCACUCCGCCUGGGAGUACGGCCGCAAGGCUG